UACUACCAUUCAUAGACUCACAAUAAUAAUAAUAAACUUUAACACUGACGUUUGCUCGGUGCAGGGAUACUUUUACGUAAUGUUGUGAUAGGGCCGAACAUCAGUUCAGUUGUUUCGUUUCCUACGCUAAAACCAUUUUAUUACCGUUAUUACCAAUUAUUCGUGUUCUAUUCGACAUCCUUGAAUCGUUUUUCAAUUCAUUAGUAACUAAAAUACGUUCCUACCAACUAUUUAAAGGUGGCGGCGGCGUCUUCUAUACUAAUUACUUCUAGAUGAGGUUAUACUUACAGAAACUUCCCUACGCUCCGCGAGAUACCGUUCUGUGCGACGGGAAAGAGCCGUACUUUCGAAUAUCGCGAGAACUGGUCCACGAAAUCUUGCUACACACAUAAAAUACAUGGAUUAUAUUACAUAGACUGUGGUGCCACAGCACAAUAGCCAAAGUGUUUGCUGAAAUACCACACAGUGAUGGUAAAAUGCUAUUGUUUGCUUCUUAUUUAUUAGAGAGGACUUUUAAUAAGGUAGAAUGUGUUACCCUUUUAAUUAUUAUUUUUUGCAUUAUGUCUUUGAGCUAACUGUGGCAAUGUAUGUUUACUUCAGAGAGCAGUGCAUGGAAUAGUUGAAGCCAAAAAAGGUCAUCCUUUAGUCGACCAAGAUUUCUCCCGUGCCUUGUUAUCUCUGGUUUUUGUUUUCCCUUUUCAUGAGGCAGAUCUAUGCUCCUGAACGAUCAAACACACAUUAUCUGCAGUCAUCUGUAUAUAAAAAAAAAGGAAAACAAAAGGAGGAUGUCAUGAAUUUUCAGACUCGGAGAACCUGAGAUUAGAGUCUGCUUGAGUAUCUGUGAGUUGGCAUGUAACUUCAAAGCAGUCGUAGAAGCUUGCAUUUUAUCUGCUGUGCUGUGGAAAACUAUCUCUGGAAGAGCAGAGUGGAUCACAAAGGAUGGAGACAGUCUGCCUCCACUGAGAUCCUUCUCAGACCUUGAUAUGGCUCACAUCAAAGAGAGGAGAGGAAGCUGUAAGGUGUCGCAGGAAGCCUGUCUGACCUGAUGCACGUCUUCGUGGAUCACUGUUGGAGACAGUGUUAGUCACACCUUCAUAUUCAUGAUCAUUGUAUGCAUACUUUGUGACUCCAAGCUCGUUUUAGUUAAAAAAAUUGAUUUACAGGUUUGCUUUAAGUGUGGGUUUGUUCUGCUUUAACUAAUCUUGUAUCUUCGGUGUUGUUGACUUGAUUUCUGUAGCCGCCAUCAGCCGUCGUUACUCUGACAGUAGGAUCCCUUUGUUAGGCAAAGUUCCUACUGUCUCUAACAGGUCACACCUACAAGUGUCUCCUAAUGUGUGAAACCAGACAGAGUCAGUGGGGUGUAAUCACUCCUGAAAAGACCACUUACAUAAACACUGACCCCCACCUCUCUUUCUCCCCAUGCCUUUGAAACUUGUUGACACUCAUCCUCCCAGCAGGCAUAAACACACUCUUUAGUUUCCAUGUUUCCCUGUAUAAGAAGGAGGUUCCCAUCCUGGGCAUUGUUGAAGCUUGUUUUCUUUAGAGAUUUCUCAUUUUCAUCAGACUCAGAAUCAUUUGUUGCACACAAUUAGGCCAUAGACUGAACUUAAAAAAAUGGAAUUAGCCAUAAUGUUGCUAAGUGUGUGUUGCUGAAAUAAAUCACAUGAAGGACGGUAAUUUACGAGAUUAUGAGUUUGUGCCUCAUUUGCUAUGACCUCUUCUCUAACACAAUAUAAAAUUCAAAUAUUUAUCGAGUCACGUUCGUUUGUAAAGUGUCAAUAAAAUUUUGACAGUGCCUUGUUUUAAUUUAUUUUUGUGAAUGGAGAACGUUUACGUUUUAUUGUUUUUGUCCACUAGGUGGCAGUGUUUAACCAGACAUAUCAUGCAACUUCAGCGGCUCACGGUCAUUUAAAGGGGCAUUCUCCAUCAUAUAGAAGUAAACGAGCAAAAUCUAAACAUCCCCUAUGACAUUUCCUGAAAACAACUACUAAUGAAAAAAACCAACACGCAGUUCCACGUGUUUCUUCCAGACGCGUGAACAUGUGCCUUCGAUAUAGACAUUAAGGCAAACCGCCGCAGACCAUAGAAAGUCACGGGUCAUAAGAAUUAGAAGGACGUGUCUUCGGACGGUACUUUUCUCUGUGCGUCUGUCUGCUCCAGUCCUUUCAUGUCGCCCUCACUAUAGAUAGAUGAUGUAACGCCAACGUUUGACUGGCGCCUCGGUGGAGCUAAACAUAAUUACUGUAAUUACAGCGUUGAGAUUGUGGACGUUCCCUCCUUAUAGCUGUGUCUUUUUCACACUCCCUGUCUCUCUCUCCCUGUCUGUCUGUUGGACAGUUCCGUGGGUUAGGUGUGGCCCCUCUGUGUGUACAGCCAUUGUGUUCCAACAUGGCGGCCCCACAGGGAACACCUGGUGUGUUGCAGUGUUUUCAUCAGUGGCGCCAUCCACCGCGCAUAUCAUUUGUGCGAGUGUCUGUGCGCUCCUGCCUGCGGCGCCGGCGUACACACACACACACACACACAUACAGAGAGAGAGAGAGAGAGAGAUACGUCACCUUUCUUACUUCAGGUGUGUUUUUUGUUGUUUUUUAGAAGCCCGGACACAGCCUCAAGUCUCUGCCACAGAGCGUCUGAUUUCCAUAAGAAACGCAGUCGUUUAACGUUUAUUCACUCGUCUCCUGAACGCGUCUUAUAAUUUCUGACAGAAUCACCUAAUUUGCCCUUUCUUAAUCAAGAAUUGAAAUUCCAAAGAUGUAAAACAGCCAGAAUUCUUCAUUAGAACCUAUGACAAACUAUAGUCAUUUUCCCAAUAUCUUCUCUUCUCAGUAUUUUCUGGCUAAAACGUUUUACACUGGGACUCAUUCCGACCCAAUUUGUCAUAUGUCAUGUUGCGUAAAUCGCAGAUUUGCAGGAGUUACAGUAGUAUAAGUGAUCGAUUAGUAAGUAUUUAUCUUAAUAGCUCAGAAUGAUCUUAUUUUAGUAAAAAAAAAAACCCUGCUGGGUUGCACCAAGGUCAAGUAAGUUGAUUUAUUUCGAAAUUUCACAGCAAAAUGCAACACUAAAAACAUUAAAAUUCCACGAAAACAGUGGCGGUUAAAGCAACUGUGGAAUAAAAUAGUAUGAUUACACUUACACUCGAAACCAAAGUUGCUGACAAAAGACAAAAAAAAAAAAAACUAAUAAAAAGCACUGCAGUAUAUCUGUGUUAC